rnacentral:tRNA from 1 species
GGGGUUGUUGCUCAGUGGUAGAGUGCUCACCUUGCAUGUGUGAGGCACUGGGUUUGAUUCUCAGCACCACA